ACUCGGCCGGGAUUGAGUUUGAACGUUAUUGUCUAAAGUAAAAUGCUUGUGCGACUGUUUCCUGGCCGAAGGAAUUCUAGUGCAAAUGUAUUCUCUGGAGCUAAACUAACAGGCGCCGCAGGGACAGCCAAAGCGGGAGGCCUUCGUGGCACUGGAAGCCUCGGAGAGCCCCCUACAGGCGGGAGGACCCGAAAAGAAAAUACUUCCGCUCAGAUGGGCGGAGCUAGGGAGCCGAGGUGGAAGUGGCUGUAAUCAGGUUUGUCAUUACAAACAACGUCGGUAUGAACCUUCUUAGAAUGCACGGAUUCAGUUACCAGAAUAUGCUUGCUAAAUAUUAUACCAACUUCAGGGACAAAGAGAGUGAUCACAGACCUGCUUAUGACAUGGAGUACACAUGGCUAGAACAAGGGAAAGAAAACGUCAAGAAACAGCUGGAAAAAAGAAAUCAUGUAUUCAUUGAAAAAGGCAAGCCUAUAAACAAUGAUAUUGUGUACUGGGUGAACAAGUACAGUAGAUGGCAGUUUAGUAACAUCCAAUAUCGUUUUGUCAUGUUUAGAAGUCAUCUUUUUUUUUAAAGAAUAUGUAAAAAAUAUGCAUCUUAUGUUUUAUAUAUUUAUUGUCAUCUUUUCUGGGAAAAGUUCUGUGUGUGAUCUCUGUUGGCUUAGAGAAACAGAAUUGUUAUAAACUUGUCAAAUAGUACAGAAUAUAAAAGGGACAUUGGGGUGCUCUGGGAUUUUUACACCACAUUUUAUUAGCAUCUCAUUCAUUUUGAAGCACAUAAAGAUUUUUUUUUUAUUUGAAGCAAUAAAACUUGGGAAUUACUCUCAAGUAAAAUAACACCACAACCAACAAUUGAUUCCUCUGAAAACCCGGAUGUAAUUUUAGCAUUUCAUGGAUGGUUCUUUAAUUGUUAGUUAAAAUAUUUAGGAAACUAAGAGAGGUGUGGAAAGGGAGCAGAGACAGAGAAGAUACUAGGAAGGGAAGGUAAAAUUUCCAAGAAUUUUUGAAUGUGAAAAGGAGAAGAAAUAAGAACCUAACCUUUCCUGAGUUACAAGUUCAAGAUUGUAUCACUUGUCUGUCACAUGGAAUUCACCAACAGUCCAGGCAUUUAAAAAAUUCUGAUCCCAGAAUGGAAAGCUGACAGUUCUUCCUACAAUGGAAUCAGACCAUUACACACGCUCUAUUGGUUUAAUUGAGCAUACAUUAUAUCCUUCAGCAAGAAAUCUUCUGCCAUGGUACCCUAUUUUCUUGGGCACCAGGGCUUGACAGAUUUCUCACACAACUAAGCAGUUGAGAAUGAUACAAUUUUGACAUGAAAUGUGCUUAUACUUUGAAAGCCAUUAAACAAGACUUGUUUGCUUAUAAUUUUCUAAUAAAAUAAAGGGCCUUCUGUGGAAAGCAGUUUUAAAAACACAUCAUAACAUUGUAAGUGUGUAGGUCUUGCAACGUUUGUUCUAAUUUUCUAGUGACAGACACAGAGUAAUAAGAUUUCCCUAACAGAUGCUUAGUGCUGGGUACUCACAUGUCACUCAAGCUGACAAGGUUCUAGGAAAAAACACUUUUGUCACCAUGUUACCAUUUUGAAAAAUGAACUGCACAUAAUUGCACAUAAUUCAAUUUUGCUUAAUUGAAAAGUAUAAACUUCACAAAAUAUAAUUUAUUAAAGUUAAUAUGACAGAAUUAAUUGGAAAUAUACCCCAAACAACCCACUAGGUCCUGUUCUACAAAUUUGUCUGCAGACAAGAUUCUAAUCCUACGUGCCUGGAGAAAAGCAUUAGUUUAGUUUACAAUAGGAUCAUAGAAUUUUGAAGUUGGGAGGGAGACUGUGAGGUCUCCUGUUUCAAAUUAAUACCUACUUUUAAGGAUUUUCUUUCUAUAUAUAUCCCUGUAAGAUUUUAAUUUAAUUAAUAUUCAAAUAAUAAAUAGCAAGCACCAUUCAAAUAAUAAAUAACAAGCAGGUUGUGAAUGAAAUGAACAUGGUUUCUUCACUCAUUCAUUCUCUCAACAGAUAUUUAUUGAGCAUCACACAUAACUGGUAUGUUCCAGGAAUUAUGUUAGAGACUGUUAAUGCAAGAAUAAAUAUUUUGCUAUUUCUGUCCCUGAGGAGGAAGUCAGAGUAUAGCUGGGAAGAUAGACAAAUUAAUAACUAUAUUGUAGUGUGAUAAAGGCUACGAUAGGUAGACAGUCGUGUGGGAAAACAGAUGAGGGAGCAAUCUGUGUCACCUGAGGGUUUUUCGAAGACAACAGACAGGAAAUCACAUUUCAGCUGGAGCAGGAGUUCUCAGAGGAGAAGUGGAGGCUGAGGAUCUAAGAAAGGAAAUAGGCAUGAAGGCAGAAAAGUAUGUUUGGAGGGUGAGUGUGUGAAAUGUUGGGAACGUUGGGAAGUGAUAGAGAGUCAGACUUGGAAAGUUAAUUAAAGGAAAGACUGCAAAUAUCAGAUUCUAAAUAGGACAAUUGAAAAAAUGUGAAAGUGAAGAUAGGGAUAUGAUCUGAUUUAUAUUUUUAAAAAACAAGGUUUGUAAUAGAUAUGUUGAAGUGUGUUCUGGUGUUUUACUUGGACAGUGGAAGUGACAAUGGACAAAGGUAUAUAUAUUAAGAUAUGUUUUAGAAAUUGACUGAACUGUGGGCACUUGGAUGGCUCAGUCAAUUAAGCUUCAACUCUUGAUUUUGGCUCAGGUCUUGAUCUCACAGUCCUGGGACUGAGUCUCACAUCACACUGCAUGCUCAUGGAGCCUGCUUAAGAUUCUCUCUCUCUCUCUCUCUCUCUCUCUC